AGUAAGUCCUGGGGCAGAAAGGCACCCCUUGCCGAUUCUCCUUCCUGCUCAGUGGCCUUGUAAACCCUCUGGGGAUUGGCUUUGGAGGGUUUCUCUGUACAGCCCUGGUUGUCCUGGAACCCACUCUGUAGACCAAUCCGGCCUUGAUCUCAGAGAUCCGCCUGCGUCUGCCUCCUGAGUGCUGGGAUUACAGGUCUGCAGCAGCAAAGUCACCUGACUGAUGCCCCUCCCUCUCCAUGCUUACCCAGGGCCCGUGUUCAUGCUCAACAAUUGCUGUACUGCCGAGCUGUGCCCAGAGCCCAGGAAGCCUUCCGGCUGCUGCCUGCCCUCUCCUGGGAACCUCAGCUCAAGGACGAUGUCUGCAUCCCUGCUCUUUAUUAUCUCUGGUGCCUGAGGAGUGCCUAGCAGCACAGGUCAAAGAAGAAAGGUAGCCUAAAGGGUCUGAGAAGAGACUGUCUUGUAAGACUCCGGUGGACACCGAAAUCUGCAGAUGCUCGAGCCCCUUACAUAAAAUAUAGAGCAUCUGCACAGCACUUGGGCACAUCUGCUCACAUACUUGAAAUUGUUUCCAGAUAGCUUAUAGCACCUGGUUUAAUGUAAACAUUGGUGGGGCAGUUUAUACCUGUAGUCUCAGGACUCAGAAGGCCAAGGCCAAAGAUCAUGUGUCCAAGACCAGCAUAGACCACGAAAGAGACCCUGUUUCACAACCAAAGUAAGAGCAAAACCAUUAUAAAUGUUGGGGAAUAAAGUUCCUUCUGCAG